rnacentral:rRNA from 1 species
CUCUCCUCUCUUCUCUGUCUAUUCGAUCGCUUCUCGCCAUGGAGCGCGCGCCAUUGCUACCCCUCCUCUUGCUUGCCGCUGUCGCCCUCGCCGCCGUGAGCGGCACGGAGGUCGCGUACAACGACCGGGCGCUGGUCAUCGACGGCGAGCGCCGCAUCGUCAUCUCCGGCUCCAUCCACUACCCCAGGAGCACGCCGGAGAUGUGGCCGGAUCUGAUCAGGAAGGCCAAGGAGGGCGGGCUGGACGCCAUCGAGACGUACGUGUUCUGGAACGGCCACGAGCCGCGCCGCCGGGAGUACAACUUCGAGGGGAGCUACGACAUCGUGCGCUUCUUCAAGGAGAUCCAGGACGCCGGCAUGUACGCCAUCCUCCGCAUCGGCCCCUACAUCUGCGGCGAGUGGAACUACGGCGGCCUGCCGGCAUGGCUGCGCGAGAUCUCCGGCAUGCAGUUCAGGAUGCACAACCACCCCUUCGAGAGAGAAAUGGAGACCUUCACGACCCUCAUCGUCGACAAGCUCAAGGAGGCCAAGAUGUUCGCCGGUCAGGGAGGCCCCAUCAUCCUGUCUCAGAUCGAGAACGAGUACGGGAACAUCAUGGGCAAGCUCAACAACAACGAGUCGGCGUCCGAGUACAUCCACUGGUGCGCCGCCAUGGCCAACAAGCAGAACGUCGGCGUGCCGUGGAUCAUGUGCCAGCAGGACGACGACGUCCCGUCCAACGUGAUCAACACCUGCAACGGAUUCUACUGCCACGACUGGUUUCCCAAGAGGACCGACAUCCCCAAGAUCUGGACUGAGAACUGGACUGGCUGGUUCAAAGCAUGGGACAAGCCUGAUUUCCACCGGUCCGCCGAGGACAUCGCCUUCUCCGUCGCCAUGUUCUUCCAGAAGCGUGGAUCCCUUCAGAACUACUACAUGUACCAUGGUGGCACCAACUUUGGCCGCACAUCAGGUGGCCCCUACAUCACAACCAGCUACGACUACGAUGCCCCUCUCGACGAGUAUGGUAACAUCAGGCAGCCAAAAUAUGGGCACCUCAAGGACCUCCACAAUGUCCUAAAAUCCAUGGAGAAGAUCUUGCUCCAUGGCGACUACAAGGACACCAACAUGAGCAGCACCAAUGUCACGAUGACCAAAUAUACGCUGGACAACUCCUCUGCCUGCUUCAUCAGCAACAAAUUCGACGACAAGGAGGUCAACGUGACCCUCGACACAGGUGCCACCCACGUCGUGCCUGCAUGGUCCGUGAGCAUCCUGCCGGACUGCAAGACCGUCGCGUACAACAGCGCCAAGAUCAAGACGCAGACUUCGGUGAUGGUGAAGAGGCCCGAGGUGGAAACGGUGAGGGAGAGCCUGGCUUGGUCGUGGAUGCCCGUGAACCUCCAGCCUUUCAUGACCGACGAAAAGGGCAACUUCAGGAAGAACGAGCUUCUCGAGCAGAUCGCCACAUCAGGCGACCAGAGCGACUACCUAUGGUACAGGACAAGCUUUGAGCAUAAGGGGGAAGCGACCUACAAGUUGCACGUCAACACGACCGGGCAUGAGCUUUACGCUUUCGUCAACGGCAAGCUUGUUGGGAAGCAGCACUCUCCUAAUGGUGGAUUCGUCUUCCAGAUGGAGACGCCCGUGAAGCUCCACUCGGGGAAGAACUACAUCUCCCUCCUCAGCGCCACCAUCGGCCUCAAGAACUACGGCGCGCUGUUUGAGAUGAUGCCCGCCGGUAUUGUUGGAGGCCCGGUGAAGCUCGUCGACACCGUCACCAACACCACCGCCUACGAUCUCUCCAACAGCUCCUGGUCAUACAAGGCCGGGCUCGCCGGCGAGUACAGGGAGACCCACCUCGACAAGGCCGACGACCGCAGCCAAUGGAGCGGCGGCCUCAACGGCACCAUCCCGGUGCACCGCCCAUUCACCUGGUACAAGGCCACGUUCGAGGCACCCGCCGGCGAGGAGCCCGUCGUGGCGGACCUGCUCGGGCUCGGCAAGGGCGUGGUGUGGGUCAACGGCAACAACCUGGGCCGCUACUGGCCGUCCUACGUCGCGGCAGACAUGGGCGGCUGCAAGCAGUGCGACUACCGCGGCACGUUCAAGGCGGAGGGUGACGGGCUCAAGUGCCUCACCGGCUGCAACGAGCCGUCCCAGCGGUUCUACCACGUGCCGCGGUCUUUCCUCAAGGCCGGUGAGCCCAACACGAUGGUGCUGUUUGAGGAGGCCGGCGGCGACCCGACUAGAGUGAACUUGCACACCGUGGCCGUGGGCGCGGCGUGCGCGGAGGCCGCCGAGGUCGGCGACCAGGUGGCGCUGGCGUGCAGCCAUGGCAGGACCAUCUCGAGCGUGGACGUGGCCAGCCUCGGCGUGGCGCGCGGCAAGUGCGGUGCCUACGAGGGCGGCUGCGAGUCCAAGGCGGCGCUGGCGGCAUUCACGGCGGCGUGCGUCGGCAAGGAGUCGUGCACGGUGCCGCACACGGAGGAUUUCCGCGCCGGGUCCGGGUGUGACUCCGGCGUGCUCACCGUGCAGGCCACCUGCUGAUCCAAAUGAAUGAAUAAAUUAGUCAGUGUUCUUUAGGCUAAGUGUUAGCUAGCAUCAGGAACUAGGUUAUUGGCGGCAGCAUAUGUGUUAGGGGGCUAAUUAGCCAAGAACAAUGCAUGGUUCAAUUCAUGUGAUUUUUCAAUGGAUGGAGGUUAAAUCAAGAAUUUGUUGAGAUG